rnacentral:rRNA from 1 species
AAGUUUCAACAACGGAUCUCUUGGCUCUCGCAUCGAUGAAGAACGCAGCGAAAUGCAAUAAGUAAUGUGAAUUGCAGAAUUCAGUGAAUCAUCGAAUCUUUGAACGCACCUUGCGCUCCUUGGUAUUCCUUGGAGCAUGCCUGUUUGAGUAUCAU